rnacentral:rRNA from 1 species
AAUGAACGCUGGCGGCAGGCUUAACACAUGCAAGUCGAACGCCCCGCAAGGGGAGUGGCAGACGGGUGAGUAACGCGUGGGAAUCUACCCAGUUCUACGGAACAACAGAGGGAAACUUCUGCUAAUACCGUAUACGCCCUACGGGGGAAAGAUUUAUCAGAAUUGGAUGAGCCCGCGUAAGAUUAGCUAGUUGGUGAGGUAAUGGCUCACCAAGGCGACGAUCUUUAGCUGGUCUGAGAGGAUGAUCAGCCACACUGGGACUGAGACACGGCCCAGACUCCUACGGGAGGCAGCAGUGGGGAAUAUUGGACAAUGGGCGCAAGCCUGAUCCAGCCAUGCCGCGUGAGUGAUGAAGGCCUUAGGGUUGUAAAGCUCUUUCAGUGGGGAAGAUAAUGACGGUACCCACAGAAGAAGCCCCGGCUAACUUCGUGCCAGCCGCCGCCGUAACAC